AGAACGAACGCUGGCGGCAUGCCUAACACAUGCAAGUCGAACGCUCUUGGGGCUUCGGUUCCAAGGGAGUGGCGCACGGGUGAGUAGCGCGUGGGAACCUGCCCUGGAGUGGGGGAUAACCGAGGGAAACUUCGGCUAAUACCGCAUGCGCCCGGGAAACCGGGGAAAGAUUUAUCGCUCUAGGAGGGGCCCGCGUCGGAUUAGCUAGUUGGUGGGGUAACGGCCUACCAAGGCUUUGAUCCGUAGCUGGUCUGAGAGGAUGAUCAGCCACACUGGGACUGAGACACGGCCCAGACUCCUACGGGAGGCAGCAGUGGGAUAUUGGACAAUGGGCGCAAGCCUGAUCCAGCAAUGCCGCGUGAGUGAUGAAGGCCUUAGGGUUGUAAAGCUCUUUCGCCCGCGACGAUGAUGACGGUAGCGGGAGAAGAGCCCGGCUAACUCGUGCCAGCAGCCGC
rnacentral:rRNA from 1 species